CAGCCGCCGCGGUAAUACGAAGGGGGCUAGCGUUGUUCGGAAUUACUGGGCGUAAAGCGCACGUAGGCGGAUAUUUAAGUCAGGGGUGAAAUCCCGCAGAUCAACUGCGGAACUGCCUUUGAUACUGGGUAUCUUGAGUAUGGAAGAGGUUAGUGGAAUUGCGAGUGUAGAGGUGUAAUUCGUAGAUAUUCGCAGGAACACCAGUGGCGAAGGCGGCUAACUGGUCCAUAACUGACGCUGAGGUGCGAAAGCGUGGGGAGCAAACAGGAUUAGAUACCCCCGUAGUCCCUGUCUCUUAUAC
rnacentral:rRNA from 1 species